ACCUGGUUAUAACCUGAGACAUUACCUGGUUAUAACCUGGUUAUAACCUGAGACAGUACCUGGUUAUAACCUGGUUAUAACCUGGUUAUGACCUGAGACAUUAC